rnacentral:rRNA from 1 species
AUUGAACGCUGGCGGCAGGCCUAACACAUGCAAGUCGAGCGGCAGCACGGGUACUUGUACCUGGUGGCGAGCGGCGGACGGGUGAGUAAUACCUAGGAAUCUGCCUGGUAGUGGGGGAUAACGUUCGGAAACGGACGCUAAUACCGCAUACGUCCUACGGGAGAAAGCAGGGGACCUUCGGGCCUUGCGCUAUCAGAUGAGCCUAGGUCGGAUUAGCUAGUUGGUGAGGUAAUGGCUCACCAAGGCUACGAUCCGUAACUGGUCUGAGAGGAUGAUCAGUCACACUGGAACUGAGACACGGUCCAGACUCCUACGGGAGGCAGCAGUGGGGAAUAUUGGACAAUGGGCGAAAGCCUGAUCCAGCCAUGCCGCGUGUGUGAAGAAGGUCUUCGGAUUGUAAAGCACUUUAAGUUGGGAGGAAGGGCAUUAACCUAAUACGUUAGUGUUUUGACGUUACCGACAGAAUAAGCACCGGCUAACUCUGUG